CGGCUCAGUAACACGUGGAUAACCUACCCUCAGAUCUGGGAUAACUCCGGGAAACUGGAGAUAAUACCGGAUAAUCCGUGAACGCUGGAAUGCCUUACGGUUGAAAGCUUUAGCGUCUGAGGAUGGGUCUGCGGCCGAUUAGGUAGUUGCUGGGGUAACGUCCCAACAAGCCGAUAAUCGGUACGGGUUGUGAGAGCAAGAGCCCGGAGAUGGAUUCUGAGACACGAAUCCAGGUCCUACGGGGCGCAGCAGGCGCGAAAACUUUACACUGCGCGAAAGCGCGAUAAGGGGACCUCGAGUGCGUGCGCAAUGCGUACGCUUUUCAGAUGCCUAAAAAGCAUCUGGAAUAAGGGCCGGGCAAGACCGGUGCCAGCCGCCGCGGUAACACCGGCGGCUCAAGUGGUGGCCGCUAUUAUUGGGCUUAAAGGGUCCGUAGCCGGACCAGUUAGUCCCUUGGGAAAUCUUACGGCUUAACCGUAAGGCUGCCAAUGGAUACUGCUGGUCUUGGGACCGGGAGAGGCAAGAGGUACCUCAGGGGUAGGAGUGAAAUCCUGUAAUC
rnacentral:rRNA from 1 species